rnacentral:rRNA from 1 species
UACGAAGGGGGCUAGCGUUGCUCGGAAUUACUGGGCGUAAAGGGCGCGUAGGCGGCACUGUUAGUCAGGCGUGAAAGUCCUGGGCUCAACCUGGGAACUGCGCUUGAUACGGCAGAGCUAGAGGAUGGAAGAGGCUCGCGGAAUUCCCAGUGUAGAGGUGAAAUUCGUAGAUAUUGGGAAGAACACCGGUGGCGAAGGCGGCGAGCUGGUCCAUUACUGACGCUGAGGCGCGACAGCGUGGGGAGCAAACAGGAUUAGAGUACC